GAUGUGUGUGUGAUGAUGAUGAAGAGGAUAUAGAUGAUGACGUGUGUGUGUGUGUGUGUGUGUGUGUUGUAGGACAGGAGUGUAAGGUUGGGGAGCAGUGGAGUAGGUGCAGUACUGUGUCUCUAGCAAAAGGGGAGCACUUCUCUCCAGAUGUGGUGCUGGUGUUCAGUGGGAAGAGGCGCUCCAGUGGGGAGUGUGAUGCUGAACUGCAGGAGGCUCUUCGCACCAGACUGAGAGUGAUGGAGAGCAGCAGUCAAGAUAUCAGCAGUCUGUUUAAGGACCUCUCUGCACGACUGCUCUCUGUGCACGCUGAGCGAGAUUGUUUCAUCCUGACUUUCAAGACGGUGGAGGAGAUCUGGAAGUUCUCUACCUACCUGUCC